rnacentral:miRNA from 1 species
UAUUGCACAUUCCCCAGCCUGG